GGAUGUGAGGGCGAUCUGGCUGCGACAUCUGUCACCCCAUUGAUCGCCAGGGUUGAUUCGGUUGAUCUGCCGGCUAGACGGGUGUCCCCUUCCUCCCUCACCGCUCCAUGUGCAUCCCUCCCGAAGCUGUGCACUCGGUCGAAGAGGACGACCAUCCCCGAUAGAGGAGGACUGGUCUUCAGUCAAGGGUAUAGGAGUAACUGCGCUCCCCUGCUAGAACCUCCAAACAAGCUCUCAAGAAUAAUGGUCUCCAACUCCAUUCAGGUUGCUGUGAAUGCCAUUAUUUCAUUCCAUUUUAUGGCUGAGUAAUAUUCCAUACUAUAUAUAUAUACUAUAUAGUAUAUAUAUAU
rnacentral:snRNA from 1 species